CUCCCCGGAAAAUUGUUUAUGUUGCUAGUCACGUGACACGAGGGUAGCCAUGGCGAUCUGUGGUUGGUUGCCAGGAGAAGGAGAAGCAGAGCAGCUAAGGAUGCUAAAGAAGCUGAGCUUAGUAAAUGUAGACAGUAAGUGCUUGUCUAAUAUUUUUUUCUGCUUGAGUAACUGUGAUUAAAAAAGAAGUAUCAAAUAUAAAACACAAAUCAUUUUAAUUUAUUUUUUAUGGGAGCUUUACCCCAUGCAUUUGUGAAAUAUUGCAUUACGAGUCACUCUGAGGUCUUCAAGUGCAAUUUCUUUUAGUACUGUCACAACCAAAAUACUAAACAAAUCCUAACAAAAGCCAUUAAAAACUUAAAAUUGGUUGGUUCCAUAAAAAUACAUGAGAAAUUUUAAGUAUUGGGUCAUUUUGGUACCAGUGAUCCACUAAUGAAGGUCAAGCUUUUUAUUAAAAGACACAAUUUUUGCUUUGUGUUUUUAUAAAGCCAGCAGAUUUGAAAGUUCUUCAGAGACAAAAACGGCUAAAUAAGGAGCCUAACACAGGAAACAUGCCUCAAGAUAUAGAUUCUCAGCCAGGAAGGGUACAGCUGCCAUCAGAUAGCCAGGAAGUGCAGAUGCAGUCCUUCAGCAGUUGGAUACACUCUGCAGAAAUACAGACGAACCAACGGUUUGGAAGACAAACCACGGUCUGGGUGUUUAAGGGUUUCUUCAGCAAGAAAUGUGCAGGAAAACCGCCGAAUGACAUCACAGGAAAUGUUCCCUCUAAUUUUUCAUGAGUCUGAGCAAACACACAAACUCCCUGAGCGUCCCUUGGACCACUGUGAGCAACAUCAGACGUGUGCACUGUGGUCACACCAGCAUCACAUCCAUUCAAGUUACAUGGUUCAUUAAAAGAAUCAAAUUACAGCAUUUACAUUUCUGUUAAAACACUUUGUCAACAGGAGCCAGUUGAAGGCUGCAGUGAUUUUAGUGACACUACAAUGUAUAAGAGUGAAGUUAUUGAAUAUUUGUCUCUCUUUACUGUUGCAGUGAUUUUGCAAAUUGCAGACGGACCCUGUUCACUCCAUAAACACCAAUGUUAUUCCUGUAGCUUGAAAGACAGCUACUUUUGAUAAAACUGGGCUUGUAGCACAUUGUCUGCCUUGCAACAAUGGGAAAGAGGCACCGUUUAUGUUUUGACAACCUAUAUCUAAUGAGUUAUUGAUGCUGGAAGUCUGAAUCUGUGAAUAUCUUUCCAACUUUACUGAACUUGGGGCCACUACCACCUAAGGAGUGAUAUAUUUAAUUUUGAAAAAAGCAUUUAGCCAUACUUAAAGCUUUAAGUGCUUUAUUAACACGGAACUAAAAAUUUUGUAUUGUUUUAUUAUCACAGAUUCUGUCUGAAAAGAGGUGGCAUCAUUUUAAACAGUGAAAUCAAACUAACAAAAUGUAAUGACCAACCAGUGAGCAAUACUGGAUUCUGCAAAAACAUAAACAACUUUUUUUAAAAUCUAAAUCUUAUCUUAACACAGUUAAUGUAUUAACUUAUUUUUGUGUGUAUGCAUGUAUUUAUUGAUUUAUUUAAUACUGUUAACAUAUCAGAGUUCUGAGUGAAUUUUUCUUAAGAUAGGCAAAGGCCAUUUAUUGAUUACAUAUAGGCUAUUAAAUGUUUAUUAAAAACUAAAAAGCAUUUAAAAAAAAAACAACUUAGGCAUUUAUUGAGCCACUAAAAUACUGUAGAGUACAGACCACAUCAGCAUGAUUAUAAGCAUCCUCUGGUAAAUGAACAACCAGAUACUGAUGUCUCUCACCAUAUGGACUUCAGGAGAUGACUGGGGGAUGAUAAACUGUGACCUACUGGUUGGGUUCUCUCUUAGGGGCUUUCGACCAAAGAGCACCAGGUGCUAGGUUGGUUCAAAGUUGAGAGCCAGUGCUUUUUUGGUUCAAAUCUCGUGCAGCCCCAGAACGGGUUUCCAUUCAGAAGGAGCAAAGUUGGAGCUGCGUCAUUGCGCCACCACAAAACGUGUGUACGUCACUGCGUACGUAGCCGUUCAACAGCGUUCACGCCGUACGGAAACCCACACAACAACAAUGGAGGACUUCAUUGGAGUGGUGUUCAUGGCUUUGCUAGUGUGUCUCGCCAUCGCUGAACAGCAAAACUUUCUGUUAGGGCUUACCCAUCGGCGUCGCCGUUCCAAUGCCCGGCGAUCACGUUUGAGAAGAAAGAUGUUUUUAGAUGUCACCCCGCCCUCUGCCCGUGACGUGCUCGGCUCUCAACUCUGGCCACCUCUGGCCCAGCAACGAGUUGGUGCCCGAAACGGCCCCAGUUUUUGGAGCCCGGAGCCGCAGCUCCGGUGGUGGAAACACAAAAAACCGGCGCCAAGUCGGGCGCCGGCUCCAACUCCGAACGGGCUCCACCCCGGUCGAAGAGAGAACUCUGUUCUCAUGUUUCUUACAUGUUUGUCCCCUGACAGCCGGGUCCUAAUGUUUUUUGAGCAACACACCAUACUAUGACGUUUUUACAAUGAUGGUUCUACUAUGGAACCAGUUUGACUUGUUCAGGUGUUCUUUGUGUGAAGACUCAGAGAUUUCAGGUAUCAGAAAGUGGUUUUCAACUUUCUUUGUUAACUUUCUGCUUCAACUUUAAGUUAAAUUUCCUUCACUAAGCCAGCCCUCUGGACUUCCAGGAAGCUGUGUUCCUAUUGGCUGUCCAGGUGGCUGCUUGGUGUUAUCAGGAACACCUGAGCAGCUCAGUGUCUUCCUGCUUUAUUUAGCUGCAGACAAACAUUUCCUCUGCUUUGCUUCACCACUGAACUGGGUUUGGCUCCGUUGCUUUAGUUUCUUCUUUAGGCGUUGGCUUGCAGCUUCCAGCAGUAAAAUCAUCUUUAAUGUGUUUCUUGGUGUGUUUUAGGGCUUUGUACUGGAUAGUUGUCUUGGUAAAUGAGGUUCUUUAGCCACAGUUAGCACAUGGUGCUAAUGUGUGCAGUGAUUAAUAGAUUUGGUGCAGCUGUGUCUUUAUCUUGGCUGUAGUGAGUCUUCAGAGGUUUUUGGUCAGACACAUUCUGAAUUCUUGUUUGUGAACCAGCGUUGGUUGUCCAGAAGGUAAGAGUUCCUGUCCUGAUUCUCUGUUCUCAGAGGUUCUCUGGUAGGCUGCAGGAGACUUUAGCAUUUGUGUUGUGCUAGUUUGGUUUUUGUACAGUUUCAUUUGGACAACUAUCUUGAGGCUCCUCCAUGUGGUUUAGUGAGGUUUUCUGGAACAGUUCUACAUAGCAACCUGCAGCAGAAGAGACUUUGAGAGUUUUUAGGAAGUUCUGGAGACCAGACUUUAGAGCAGCAGAAACAUUUGUCAGCAGUUUGAGCAGGAGAAGGUGAGCUUCAGAGUAGAAAUGAGACAGAAACCUUCUUGACCCGUGUGGUGAGGUCCUGUACCAAGAGUUUGAGCAGGUUGUAAAGAGUCUGUAGUUCUUUGGUCUGAAAGCACAAGAAGAGUCGACUCAUUAAAGGAGAAAACAGGAGAUAUUGUUGGUUCUUCUGUCGCUCUGCAGUUUCCUUAGACUGAAUAUCAAGUUUAUAUUUUAAAUGAUUUCCCAUGUGAGCCCAAGAAGACUUCAAUAAACUCCCUCCAUCCCCUGGACACAACAGAUUUUAUUACCAUGUUAAAUCUUUUUUUUUUAAAUGUUUUUGAGUUUUAAUCAUAGUUUUAGCAUAGUUUUUUUCUCAUUGCUUGUUUAGUUUUCUCAUCUGUGUAAAAGGCGCUAAACAAAUAAAGUUGAAUUGAUAAACUGAA